UAGCCUAGUGGUUGAGGCUUUGGAUCGCCAAUCCGGAGACGGCGGGUUCGAUUCCCGU
rfam:Aedes albopictus isolate Foshan contig94944, whole genome shotgun sequence.